CCAUGCAAGGAUCUGAAAGCCCUUAGCAAACAGGAAAUGAAUUUAGCCUCACCAAUCUCUGGCAGUUGAGAAAGAUUAUUCUCCCCAUUGUACAGACAGGAAAACUGAGGAACAGAGCAGAAGAAUGACUUACCCAAGGACAGUGUCUACAGCAAGACUGGGAAUGAAGUGCAGUCUCCUUCUUCCCUAGUUCUGUGCUUUCACCACUAGACGAUACUUUCUCCUUUCCUGUCCUAACUUUAUGAAGCUGAUCUGGAUGAAUCCCCUACCAUGGUAGUUUGGGAUGAGGAGUCUGUUCCUUCCACCAGCAGUCUGGACAAAGUGACAUUUGAAUUUGGCAGCAGAGUGGCUGGGCAGGAUAAGGGCCUGUCAGGGUGAGCAGGCCCUUCAUGAGGUUCUCAAGCUCUAGGUCCCAUUUGUGGCUGGUUUUCCUCCUGGAUAUAGGAAGGCCUGUCGGGAAGUUGGAUAUAAAGCACUUCCUACCACCAACGAGGGAGCUACAUCCUGGUGAGUGCAGCAGCUGGCUGAGCUGUGCUGCUGUGGCUGGAGAUGCUGCUUCACUGAGAAGGAAAUGAAUAUGGCAUUUUUUAUGUUAAUUUCAAAGCCCUGUAGAACCACACGGAACAACCAAAACCCUAAUGUUUCCAGAUUGGAAAGGCAUAAGCAGGAUGUGGAGAUGUCUGAUAUUUGAGAAGAGUUUGUAAACAACCAGAAAGUGACAAUUAGAAUUAAAUUCAAGAUCCCUGUUGGGCUCUUGUCAUCUGCCUCCAGGGACCAAGGAAGAAAACCCAGGGGAUUUCUGCUGGAGGCCAUUGGAGGGGAGAGUGCUUUGUCUCUGGCCAUUGUAAACUAGUUCUCUCC